GAUGAACGCUAGCGAUAGGCUUAACACAUGCAAGUCGAGGGGCAGCACAAGGUAGCUUGCUAUCUGGGUGGCGACCGGCGCACGGGUGCGUAACGCGUAUGCAACUUGCCCUAUACAGGAGGAUAACCCGUCGAAAGACGGACUAAUACUGCGUAUGCUCACAACUUGGCAUCAAGUGGUGAGGAAAGAAAUUCGGUAUAGGAUAGGCAUGCGUCCCAUUAGCUUGUUGGUGAGGUAACGGUUCACCAAGGCAACGAUGGGUAGGGGAACUGAGAGGGUUAUCCCCCACACUGGUACUGGGCCACGGACCAGACUCCUACGGGAGGCAGCAGUGAGGAAUAUUGGUCAAUGGACGCGAGCCUGAACCAGCCAAGUCGCGUGAAGGAUGACUGUCUUAUGGAUUGUAAACUUCUUUUAUACGGGAAUAACAAGAGUCACGUGUGACUCCCUGCAUGUACCGUAUGAAUAAGCAUCGGCUAACUCCGUG
rnacentral:rRNA from 1 species